rnacentral:rRNA from 1 species
GGCGAGUGAAGCGGCAAAAGCUCAAAUUUGAAAUCUGGUACCUUUGGUGCCCGAGUUGUAAUUUGGAGAGUACCACUUUGGGACUGUACUUUGCCUAUGUUCCUUGGAACAGGACGUCAUGGAGGGUGAGAAUCCCGUGUGGCGAGGGUGUCAGUUCUUUGUAAAGGGUGCUCGAAGAGUCGAGUUGUUUGGGAAUGCAGCUCUAAGUGGGUGGUAAAUUCCAUCUAAAGCUAAAUACAGGCGAGAGACCGAUAGCGAACAAGUACAGUGAUGGAAAGAUGAAAAGAACUUUGAAAAGAGAGUGAAAAAGUACGUGAAAUUGUUGAAAGGGAAGGGCAUUUGAUCAGACAUGGUGUUUUGCGCCCCUUGCCUCUCGUGGGCUUGGGACUCUCGCAGCUCACUGGGCCAGCAUCGGUUUUGGCGGCCGGAAAAAACCUAGGGAAUGUGGCUCUGCGCCUCGGUGUAGAGUGUUAUAGCCCUGGGGAAUACGGCCAGCCGGGACCGAGGACUGCGAUACUUGUUAUCUAGGAUGCUGGCAUAAUGGUUAUAUGCCGCCCGU